CCCUAGCCCUGAUAGCAGUGGAAAUCCUUUUAUGUUUUUCUUUGAAAACAUAAAAGAUUGAAACGAAUAGCAGGAUUAAGC
rnacentral:sRNA from 1 species